rnacentral:rRNA from 1 species
CAUGGGCGCAAGCCUGAUCCAGCCAUGCCGCGUGAGUGAUGAAGGCCUUAGGGUUGUAAAGCUCUUUCAGCGGGGACGAUAAUGACGGUACCCGCAGAAGAAGCCCCGGCUAACUUCGUGCCAGCAGCCGCGGUAAUA